rnacentral:rRNA from 1 species
AUUGCACCUACCGAAGACUAUCAAACUCCGAAUGCCGUCAUCUUAUACUUGGGAGUCAGACUGUGGGGGAUAAGAUUCAUAGUCGAAAGGGCAACAGCCCAGAUCGUCAGCUAAGGUCCCUAAAUGUAAGUUAAGGGGUAAAGGAUGUGGGAUUGCACAGACAACCAGGAUGUUGGCUUAGAAGCAGCCACUCAUUCAAAGAGUG